ACACGGCCCUGGUCGUCGUCGCCGCUGCGGUAACGGAGCGGUUUGGGUGGCGGAGCCUGCGUUCGCGCCUUCCCGCUCUCCUCGGGAGGCCCUUCCUGCUCUCCCCUAGGCUCCGCGGCCGCCCAGGGGGUGGGAGCGGGUGAGGGGAGCCAGGCGCCCAGCGAGAGAGGCCCCCCGCCGCAGGGCGGCCCGGGAGCUCGAGGCGGUCCGGCCCGCGCGGGCAGCGGCGCGGCGCUGAGGAGGGGCGGCCUGGCCGGGACGCCUCGGGGCGGGGGCCGAGGAGCUCUCCGGGCCGCCGGGGAAAGCUACGGGCCCGGUGCGUCCGCGGACCAGCAGCGCGGGAGAGCGGACUCCCCUCGCCACCGCCCGAGCCCAGGUUAUCCUGAAUACAUGUCUAACAAUUUUCCUUGCAACGUUAGCUGUUGUUUUUCACUGUUUCCAAAGGAUCAAAAUUGCUUCAGAAAUUGGAGACAUAUUUGAUUUAAAAGGAAAAACUUGAACAAAUGGACAAUAUGUCUAUUACGAAUACACCAACAAGUAAUGAUGCCUGUCUGAGCAUUGUGCAUAGUUUGAUGUGCCAUAGACAAGGUGGAGAGAGUGAAACAUUUGCAAAAAGAGCAAUUGAAAGUUUGGUAAAGAAGCUG
rnacentral:lncRNA from 1 species